rnacentral:lncRNA from 10 species
UUAAUGAAAACUGUACAGAUAACAACAGAAGAAUAACACUUUCUGAGCUCUGAUUUUGUGGCAAACAUUUUUUAAGGGAUUAUCGUGGAUUAAAUCAAUGAACCUCUCUCCUCCAGGAUUUAGGGGCUAUUAACACAGCCAUUUCAGUUAAUUUGCCUGGAGGUCUCCGACGCUCUUAAACCCUCCAUUUUAUAAGGAAAAAUGUAGUUACAAACCGUUAUUUUCCUAAAGUCCACAUGUAUCAUCAUUCAUCUGGUUCUAACAAUACUCAUUUUAAAUUUGCUUAACUCGCAAAUUUAGUUUUCCUUUUCAAAAACAGUGUACAAAUUAUUUUGUUCUCCAAUUUUAGCAAUCAAUUUAAGGGGAUCUUUGAUUAAUGUUUGACCAACCCGAAUUAAACAAACUAAAUUCCUUUAAAUAAUUAUCCUAUUCCAAAUUAAGUCUUCUUAAAAGGUUUAUACCUUUCAGCAUCUACUAAUCUGGUUCCUUUUAAGUACUGAAACUUUCCUCAUGACCUUUAGAAUUCCCAGCCAAAUAAAUUAAAUCUUAACACUGGUGGAGCUCACAUUGUUAAAACUUAGCAAUUUAAAUAGAAAUCCAUAGACUUACUCUUCAGAAUUAAAGUGCAAACUACUUAGAGAUCAUAAAUACUUUUAAUAUCAGAUAAAUCAUUAAGAAAUUGCAUUCUGUACUUGAUGACCACACGGGAACCUUGCUAGAGUCAAGAGAACUUGUCACUAGUAAUUAUGAAGACACCUUUACGGUGAGCGUUAUUAAAACCCUACUAGAGGUUUUGGGUGGGACUCAAGAGCAAGGGGUGGCCACCUGUGGACGAGGGUUCCCUGUUGUUAACAGAACACGUUGCCCACCUCGCAAGUAUGCAGCCCAAUCAGUCCCCAGGGUCUCGGUUCCCGUUGCGCCCUUCCCCAUGGCCACUGCGCUCAUUCAUGAGCCUAGGGUGAUCAGGCCUCCGGCCUAUAAAGAACUGCAGGAUCAGUGCGGCUCUUUUCUCGAGAUAGUAGGUGGCGCGGGAUGAUGCGCGUCUUCUUGUUGUCGCGCGCCGCGUUGCCGGCAAGCUCCAGGAUCUCGGCAG